UCAUGUCUACAACACAACGUUAAUGCACCAAAUCCCAUUAGAACUCCACAGUUAAGCGUGCUCAAGCCAGAGUAGUAUUGGGAUGGGUGAUUGUCUGGGAAGUCCUAGUAUUUUACAUGCC
rnacentral:rRNA from 1 species